UGGGGAAUUUUGGACAAUGGGCGAAAGCCUGAUCCAGCCAUGCCGCGUGAGUGAAGAAGGCCUUCGGGUUGUAAAGCUCUUUUAGUCGGAAAGAAAGAGUUGCAAUGAAUAAUUGUGAUUUAUGACGGUACCGACAGAAAAAGCACCGGCUAACUACGUGCCAGCAGCCGCGGUAAUACGUAGGGUGCGAGCGUUAAUCGGAAUUACUGGGCGUAAAGGGUGCGCAGGCGGUCUUGCAAGUCAGAUGUGAAAGCCCCGGGCUUAACCUGGGAAUUGCGUUUGAAACUACAAGACUAGAGUGCAGCAGAGGGGAGUGGAAUUCCAUGUGUAGCAGUGAAAUGCGUAGAGAUGUGGAAGAACACCGAUGGCGAAGGCAGCUCACUAGGCCUGGAUUGACGCUCAGGGACGAAAGCGUGGGGAUCAAACA
rnacentral:rRNA from 1 species